GCGGGCGAGGCCAGAGGAAGGGCGUGGAUCAACCUCACCAGUAAACCCCUUCUACAGCAGCAGCCGGAGAUGGAAGGAACCACACCUGGGGAGAGAAAGAGGAGGUGGUUCACCAUUGGACGACAGCUGUUGCUUGGACUUAUCCUGGCCAGCACUGGAGAGAGGGCGGCACAGCUGGAAGGGUCGCUGCCUCACUACCCCAGGGACCCGGGUUCGAUCCUGACCCCCGGCGCUGUCUGUGUGGAGUUUGCACGUUCUCCCUGUGAACGCGUGGGAUCCCCCUGGUUUCCCUCCACAUCCCAAAGAGGUGCAGAUGCUGCCUGACCUGCUGAGCAUUUCUGUAUUCUGGAUAGAAAGCAUCCUAACCGGAUGCAUCAUGGCUUGGUAUGGCGACUGCUCUGUCUGAGACUGCAAGAAACUGCAGAGAGUUGUGGACACAGCACAUCACAGAAACCAGCCUCCCCUCCAUGGACUCUGUCUAUACCUCUCGCUGCCUCGGUAAAGCAGCCAACAUUAUCAAAGACCCUACCCUUCCUGGACAUUCUCUCUUCUCCCCUCUCCCAUUGGGCAGAAGAUACAAAAGCCUGAAAACACGUACCACCAGGCUUAAGGACAGCUUCUAUCCUGCUGUUAUGACUAUUGAAUGGUUCCCUAGUACGAUAAAAUGGACUAUUAAUCUCACAGUCUACCUUAUUGUGAUCUUGCACCUUAUUGUCUACCUGCACUGCACUUCCUCUGUAGCUGUGACAUUUUAUUCUGCAUUCUGUAUUGUUUUACCCUGUACUACUUCAAUGCACUGUGUAAUGAAUUGAUCUGUAGGAUCGGUAGGCAAGACAAGUCUUUCACUGUACCUCAGUACAUGUGACGAUAAUAAACCAAUUCCAAUUCUC